CACGCUGUAAACGUUGCGAACUAGGUGUCGGGGGUAUUCACCCCUCCGGUGCCGAAGCUAACGUCUUAAGUUCGUCGCCUGGGAAGUACGGCCGCAAGGCUAAAACUCAAAGGAAUUGACGGGGGCCCGGCACAAGCGGUGGAGCAUGUGGUUCAAUUCGAUGCAACGCGAAGAACCUUACCUGGGCUUGACAUCCCGAGAAUCUCUCAGAAAUGAGGGAGUGCCCGUAAGGGAACUCGGAGACAGGUGCUGCAUGGCUGUCGUCAGCUCGUGUCGUGAGAUGUUGGGUUAAGUCCCGCAACGAGCGCAACCCUUGCCCUUAGUUGCCAGCGGUUCGGCCGGGCACCCUAGGGGGACCGCCGAUGUCAAAUCG
rnacentral:rRNA from 1 species